GUAUGCGGUUUCUACUGAACACAGAUGGCUUUUACACCAUCCUAAAGUUGAAAAAGCUGAAGUGGCAUCAUCCUAAAUCAAGGCCCAUCCGUUCUCUAGAAUGGGGUUUGCCUCUACUCUUCUCAGACCCUGUAAGGGCAGCCCAAGUCGAGCUCGGUCUCCCAGCUCCUCUGUCCCUGCCACUUCCUCCUUUCCUGGGUCAAGGCCUUGAUCCUCCUCCACCACUAUUUCAAUUUACCCGCUCCAGUCAACUGCCACUUUUCCCUUUUCCUUCCUUUAUCCCAAACCCACCACUGAUGCAUUUCUUUCCCAAUCAACUCUAGACUCCAUUGCCCUGCAUGUGAUGCCCUCCGAAUGUAAAUUUACUGGACUUUCCCCUGUAUUUUUCACCUACCUGAGUAGGAGCUCCCAGAUCUGGGGCAGUGGCUUUUCCCACUGCCCAAAGCACUCGGCCUUUUUCCCGAAGCUGGCCAACCUUUGGCCACCAUCACUGUAACCCACCUGCAGGACAAGACUCAACAGAAAGAGUGGCUCAGCUAGCUCAGUGGUCCCCAGAUAGCUUUUUGCUUAUUGGUAAAAGAAUUUUGGAGAAUUCUGUGUCCUCUUGUGCAUUUAAAGAUGAGAGCAAAAACUUUUCUUCCUAAGGUUAUUAUUAUUUUUUGAGACAGAGUCUCACUAUGCAGUUCACAGUGGCCUUAAACUCACUAUGUAGCUGAGGGUGGCCUCGAACUCGUGGCAUUCCUCCUGCCUCAGCCUCCCAAGUGCUAGGAUUAUUACAAGCAUGCACCACCACACCGACAUUCUUCCUCAGGUUAAAUAGAUGUAGUCUCUGGAAGCAUUGUGUACAGACUGACAUUUGAGGCAGGCAGCUUCCCAGAUGGACUAACUCACCACCUUUGGAAUCCCCCUCCGUUCCGGGUAGGCCGGACCUAGUGACAGUGAAUAGAAAAAGGCAAAACUGAUGAGCUGUCACUUAACACUCUCCAUUAUAGAAAGACCAAGACUGCUGUGCCGCUUAGCCUCUCUCGGGGAGAGAGGCCACACUGAGCCACCCUGUGGAGCAGCUCACCCUGCAGGAACUGGGAAGGGCCCCUGUCAAGGCCAGUGAGGAGUUGAGACCCUUGUUUCAGCUGUCCUUGAAUUCCAGGGGUCAAGAGAUCCUCCUGCCUCAGCCUUCUCAGUAGUUGGAACUACAAAUGUGAGGCAUGGUGCACAGCUGGAUAAGUGACUAAGAAACAAACAUAAACUGGUGGUGGAACAACUGAGCUAAAUCUCCAGCCUGAAUGGAUUUUUUUCUUCAUUCAUUCAUGCAUCCCUGGAUAAAUAUUACUUAUAGGAUGAGGGUAUUUUUCCCAGGCUGGUGAGAAGCCUACUUUUCUUCUGAAAGUGGAAGAAACACAAGAAUGAAAACAGGGCUGGGAAGGAAGCACAUCUACCCACACCUUGAUGGCUGACACCUUCCUAGGCAGGAUUGAACUCAGGACUUCAUGCUUGUCAGGCAGGCGCUGUGCCAGUCUCUGAGCUACAUCCCUGGCCCCAGGUCCCUGACUACCCUAAGGUGAUCAGCUUUGUUCACCACAUGCUCCUGCCAUGAUGUGCUGCCUUGCCACAAGUUUAAAAGCAAUGACCAUGGACUGAAAUGUCUGAAACCAUGAGCCAUGAAAAGAAAUCUUUCCUCCUUCUAAGUUGUUUGUCUCAGGUAUUUUGUCACAGUAGCUCAAAGCUCACUAAGACAAGAUUUGUGUAGGCAUGUCCCUCGCAAAGCCUUUGUGGAAGCUCAGGGUAAUGUGUACUCUUGUUUAAAAUUGUCAUCCUGGCCAUCAACUCUGGCUGCAGGUUAGAAUUACCUGGGUGCUUAUAGACUACCAAUACCCACCCCACUGGUCCAUUCUAGUUCAGCUGGUCAAAAGAGGUAUCUGGGCAUAAGUAUUUUUUACAUGUUUCCUAGGUGAUUCUAAUGCAUACCCUGAUUUUGGAGCAAUAUUCUGUUGCCAUAGGCUCCACACAGCUCAUGGACACAAUGCUGCUUUGUGCUGUGUUUGUAAUACUUCAUCUAGUCAGAGGCAUCAUCCCUGUGAGGUGAAGUCCAAUUGUAGAUUUUUUUAAAAUGUAGAAAAUAGGUGUCUUUGAUUGGAUGAAAUAUAGUCUUGCUUGCCUGUAAGACUAAUCGUCCCUGAUAGCAACAGUCCUGGCUUCCCUAGCUCUGUGUUCUUCUCAGCCUUCAGUGUUUAGCUGGUGGGCGGGGUUCCCCGAGCACUUGCUGAGUGUGCGCCGGCAUCAGGCUGCUCCAUUACUGCCCGUUCUCUGGACUCUUUUCUCCUCUCUGGUUGGACAGAACCUCAUCCUGAGGAGAAAGUAGAUAGUCAAAAAAUUUUUUUGUGGAUUAAUUGACUGAUUAUGAAAGAAGCUAUAGCCCAGUAUCAAGGAAUCAGAGUCAAGUAGAAACUGGAGAACUUGGUGGUGUCGUUGGCUAUGGAUAGAGGGAAAUGGCCACUGAGCCCAUUCCUGGGCUAUGAGAGGUGACAGAACAUCCUUCACCAACAGAAAGAUGGACUCAAGAAAUCAUCCCUGAUGAUGAAGUUUGUCUCUCCGUUACCUGAAGUGGUGGUUUGUCUACUUGGCUUCUUCCCCCGUGUCCUUUGUGUGUAUAAUUUCAAGGAAGGAGAGACUGGGAGUCAUUUUCCCCAAUAUCCCCAGUGCCUGGAGUAGUUCCUGUCUCAUAACAUAUGAGCAAUAAAUAUGGCUUUUCUUUUCUUUUUUUCCAAUACCGGCAAUCAAACUCAGGACCUUGUGCUUGCUAGGCAGAUGUGGCGCCACUGAGCUCCUUAAAUGUGGGUUUUGUUUUCAGGCAGGGUCUUACUCUGUAGUCCAGGCUGGCCUUGGAUUCACUAUGUAACCCAGACUGGCCUCAACCUCACGGUGAUCCUCCUGUUUCAGCCUUCUGAGUGCUGGGAUUACAGGCCACUAUGCCCA
rnacentral:lncRNA from 1 species